GAUGUUUUGGGUUUUCUAGAU
rnacentral:miRNA from 1 species